rnacentral:rRNA from 1 species
CCUACGGGAGGCAGCAGUGAGGAAUAUUGGUCAAUGGACGAGAGUCUGAACCAGCCAAGUAGCGUGAAGGAUGACUGCCCUAUGGGUUGUAAACUUCUUUUAUAUGGGAAUAAAAUGUUCCACGUGUAGGAUUUUGUAUGUACCAUAUGAAUAAGGAUUGGCUAACUCCGUGCCAGCAGCCGCGGUAAUACGGAGGAUCCGAGCGUUAUCCGGAUUUAUUGGGUUUAAAGGGAGCGUAGGUGGAUUGUUAAGUCAGUUGUGAAAGUUUGCGGCUCAACCGUAAAAUUGCAGUUGAAACUGGCAGUCUUGAGUACAGUAGAGGUGGGCGGAAUUCGUGGUGUAGCGGUGAAAUGCGUAGAUAUCACGAAGAACUCCGAUUGCGAAGGCAGCUCACUGGACUGCAACUGACACUGAGGCUCGAAAGUGUGGGUAGCAAACAGGAUUAGAUACCCGAGUAGUC